ensembl:miRNA microRNA 1-1
GACAGCGGCCUGCUUGGGGGACAUACUUCUUUAUAUGCCCAUAUGAACACGAGCAACUAUGGAAUGUAAAGAAGUAUGUAUCCCAGGUUGGGAGAAAUGAC